GCCUGGGUGGCUCAGUGGGUUUGGCAUCUGACUUCGGCUCAGGUCAUGAUCUCACAGUUUGUGGGUUCAAGUCCCGUGUCAGGCU
rnacentral:tRNA from 1 species